GUUAAACAGUCUGUGCUCGACCGGUAGGAACAAAAAACCAAAACCAAGAGAGGCCCUUGAAGACUGGUGUGGGCACCGUUGCUAUAAACAAAUUGUUGGUUCUAUUCGUAUUUUAGGGAUUUACUGUGUUACACCUCUUUGCUUGUAUUGUUUGUUUGGAGUCUGUUGUGGGUGGUUGAUAUAUCCAAGAUUGCGCCCUGGAAGGCAAAUGGAGUUUUCACAGUGUCAGCAAAAAUGAAAGCGUGACGAAUAAAGAAACACCCAGCGAGGCUCUCAGCGUGUCGAAUCGUUCCAAGUGGGGUGGCACAGUGAAAACACGAUGGCAACUAGCGAAAAUUCCCAAGCUGGGCUGACGCCAUUCUACCUGAAAUUCAUUGACCGACCUGCUACCGCCCGCUGACUCCGCUUGCAAAGACAUCUUGCUCAGUCUUACCAGUUUUGAGGAGGAUCCAACUAACUCCCUAGAAGAGACGGUUCACGGGCGUGCACACCACGCUCAUAUUUUUCUGUCAUUUCCAUCUUCAUUUCAAUGAAAACCAAUUUUACCGUGUGUGUAAGCCUCAUGGAGACUGGAGACGACACACUGGUGAGUCGAGUAAGGGGGCGGAGCACGUCAGCAGUGGCACAACCAGACACUGAAGAUGGAGGCUAACUUCACAUAAAAUGUCACACAUUGUAAACACGUGACAGAAAAUAUGGCGCAUUUUUGUCUCGUCAGACGAAAACUAGCAUGUGCCUCAUUAUGUUUUAGUCUCCUACAAUACGAUUUUAGCUCGGCAUUUUUUUCCCCCUUGGAAAAUUGUUUUAUAUUUGUGUAAAAAUAAUCAAAUUACAAAAAUGAUCAAUUUUUAAAGAGGUCUCCAAUUCUGUGCCGGUUGUAUUUGAGUAUUUUCAGAUGAUGGAUAGGAAAAAGUAAAAGACGAAAGGAAUGUUUAAAUGGACGAGGGCGGCUCAUGAAGGACACAGGGGGAUGCAGCCAGCAUAGAGCAUUUGGACUGAGCCCCUGAGGGCUCUGUCAUCUGUCACCUUCCCUGGGACCUGUCAGUGCGGCCGGCAACAGCUGUCCUGCCUCAAUUAUGAAUCAUUGGCCAUGUCGGGAGACAUCACACCGCCUUAAAUUCAGAGCUACUGCAGCCAAAUGCCCAGAGGGACAGCUCUCUUGCUCACCUGUCCAUUCUCUUACUGGCUUACUGCUGUGUAAAUUUUUGCAUUUUCUCCCACACUUCUAACCAUAAUGCUUCAAUAGUCCUCACCAUCUCCGGGAUGCCAGCCAGGCUUCAAAUUAAAAUUGGAAAUUCAUUCACCGUCAUGUAAAUUGGGGAAUAAAAAAACAACAACCUUAUCCAUGUUUUAAAGUUAAGAUUAGUUAGUUGUCAUUUGAAUGGGAGGGACGGAGCCAUUUUUUUUUCUCAGACUGCAUCAGUGUACUCUCACUUGAAAAUGUAACCUGUGUAUUUUAGU